rnacentral:rRNA from 1 species
UAGGAUUAGAUACCCUAUUAUUCAUAUCAAACACUAAUAUGCUGGACAGUAAAAACAACAGUUUAAAAUCUAAAGAUCUUGGCGGCGUUUCAUCUAAUCAGGGGAACCUGUUCCUUAAUUCGAUAAUCCACGCACAAUCUACCAUUUUUUGAAUACCAGCCUGUAUACUGCCGUCCUAAGUAUACUUCUAAGAAAUUAUACAACAAUAAAUAAACUAUAAAUGUCAGGUCAUAGUACAGCUAACAAAAUGGAGGAAAUGGGUUACAACCUAAAAAUAGAUACCACAAUAAAUUCAAAACUUUAUACAAAGGUGGACUUGAUAGUAAUAAUUAAAUAAAAAACAAUUAUGAAACAGAAUCUGAAGCGUGCACACAUC